rnacentral:rRNA from 1 species
GUGCCAGCAGCCGCGGUAAUGCGGAGGGUGCAAGCGUUAAUCGGAAUUACUGGGCGUAAAGCGCACGCAGGCGGUCUGUCAAGUCGGAUGUGAAAUCCCCGGGCUCAACCUGGGAACUGCAUUCGAAACUGGCAGGCUAGAGUCUUGUAGAGGGGGAUAGAAUUCCAGGUGUAGCGGUGAAAUGCGUAGAGAUCUGGAGGAAUACCGGUGGCGAAGGCGGCCCCCUGGACAAAGACUGACGCUCAGGUGCGAAAGCGUGGGGAGCAAACAGGAUUAGAUACCCUGGUAGUCCACGCCGUAAACGAUGUCGACUUGGAGGUUGUGCCCUUGAGGCGCGGCUUCCGGAGCUAACGCGUUAAGUCGACCGCCUGGGGAGUACGGCCGCAAGGUUAAAACUCAAAUGGAUUGACGGGGGCCCGCACAAGCGGUGGAGCAUGUGGUUUAAUUCGAUGCAACGCGAAGAACCUUACCUACUCUUGACAUCCAGAGAACUUUCCAGAGAUGGAUUGGUGCCUUCGGGAACUCUGAGACAGGUGCUGCAUGGCUGUCGUCAGCUCGUGUUGUGAAAUGUUGGGUUAAGUUCCGCAACGAGCGCAACCCUUAUCCUUUUGUUGCCCAGC